AUAAAUUCUUGCUGCAAAUAUGAUUUCAUCAAAAAGAAAAUAAAGUUGCCUAUAGGCCAAUCCAAUAAGUUUUUUGGUCAAUGGGAAAGUGUCGCAAUAUUUGAAAUCAAUUGUUCCUGAACUGUUUUUGCUCCAAAAAAGGGUUCUUAUCUUGGUUUGUGAGAUUAAUGUCCGCUUCAGAAAGGUGAAUGGUAGAAAAGAUUUCUGAGCGAGAUCUUGAACAAGUACCUGGAGAGGAAGUGAUGAAGAACGACAUGAACCGCAAACAGGUGGCCACCGCAGUGCACAACUCCAAAUCUGAUUCAGUCGCUGUUCCUCCUCAAGUACCGUUUGUAACUCGGCCACCUACGACACAACUGCCCGUUGAAUAGCUUGUUUGUUUGUGCUAUCUCAGAAAGAAGGAAACCCAAGACAAAAUUAUGGGCCAUCAACUCCUACCUCUUUCUCAAGAGCUCAAGGUUUGAUCUCCGAGCGUUCUAAUGGGAAGGGGUGCCGGCAAAAGCCAGAGGUGAGUUCAUUCAAGGCCUUCGGUGCUGAUAUUAAUGCUUUGGAGUUAGCUGGCGUCGUCAGAGACUCGGAAAUGAACGGUGGAGGAAGGUUGCCAUGGGGAGUUGCCUGCUCCGUGUUCUUCCCAUGCACCACCUUUGCAGGUAGAGCUUCUAACAUGGAAUGCAUGACCGGCUUUAAAUCUAAAGCGGUUGGGGCUUGGCAUCAAGGCAAUGGGGCAUUAAAGUCUCUCUUUUUUCCAUUCUCCUCUUUAUACGGAGAUGACAGGUCGGUAAUUACGAAUUCUUUGAUAAAUUGCUGGGGAACGCCUUCAGAGCUAUAUAACAAUGGUAACCAUAAACAGGCUAUGAACAAUGACAUGGCCCAGAAUCUCCAUCACUCAUCAUGAUAUUAUAGUAAACCUUUGUAUAUUUCACUCGUCACAAGAAGUCUUGAUGGAUUUUGUUGUUGUCUACUAGAACCAUAAUUAAGUGUGAUAAGGAACUUCUUUCUUCGCGCA